CCUACGGGUGACAGCAGUGGGGGAUAUUGCACAAUGGGGGAAACCCUGAUGCAGCGACGCCGCGUGGGUGAAGAAGCGCCUCGGCGCGUAAAGCCCUGUCAGCAGGGAAGAAAAUGACGGUACCUGAAGAAGAAGCCCCGGCUAACUACGUGCCAGCAGCCGCGGUAAUACGUAGGGGGCAAGCGUUAUCCGGAUUUACUGGGUGUAAAGGGGUCGAAGACGGCGAUGCAAGCCAGGAGUGAAAGCCCGGGGCCCAACCCCGGGACUGCUCGUGGAACUGCGUGGCUAGAGUGCAGGAGGGGCAGGCGGAAUUCCUGGUGUAGCGGUGAAAUGCGUAGAUAUCAGGAGGAACACCGGUGGCGAAGGCGGCCUGCUGGACUGCAACUGACGUUGAGGCCCGAAAGCGUGGGGAGCAAACAGGAUUAGAUACCCGAGUAGUC
rnacentral:rRNA from 1 species